AGGAAAUGAAAACGAAAAUAGAGAAGACACAGGGGAGAAAGAAGAAAGAAAAGGGGAAAUAGGGUCUAUGAAGCUUGGAGUUAAUUGCCAACAAAGAACCUGAAGCAUCAGCAUCGAAAGGAAAGGAGAAAGUCAUCGAGGACUAAAACGGGAGAAUUACGUUGUGUAUUACUAUAAUUCGAAUUUUAAUUAUUAUUGAUUGCUGAAAUUUUAAUUGUUAUGUAUGGUAAAUAAGACUUGAGGUAAGUAUGUGAAAUUAAAAUUAGAAAAAGUAAAAUAA